rnacentral:lncRNA from 1 species
GCGGCAUCCUAUUGUAGGGUUAGCCAAAAUAUCUUUGUUGGAUUACUUUACAAGCCAAUGAUCUACCCCUUAAAUAAUUAUCAUAAAUCCCUUCGUGGACCUCCUAAAGUGCAUAAUUUGUCUAGAUUAGCUACAGACAUCAAAGUAGAAGUAGCGAUAAUGACUUUUUACUUCUAAGUAAACAUACCAAUGGGCUUGAUGCUUGAUUCUCC